ACAAGAAUCUUACCAAAUCAAGAACUGUCCCAGGAAUCAACCCCAUUGAUUUCACUUUGGCAUUUUAUUGUACUUUUCAAGAGUAGAGAAAAAUACAUGUAACCAGAAUGUAUACAGAAAGUAUUCAAAAUGUAGACAUAUCAAGUCAGGAUGGGAGAACUGAAACCAGGAAACUGAGCAAUCAGAAUAAGACAUUGGAAGCAUCAGAGCAGGAGAGCAUCCUUGGGUCAGGAAUUUGAUCAUCUUUGGGACAGCAAGAAUGCCUCCUCUAUGGUCUGUGUCGUCUGGAGCAUCAACGAGGAGGACUCCAUGGCUGGAGAUGACUCAACAGAAGGAACUAUUAACAUCCAUAACUGGUUAGAGCUGAAGGAUCUAUGACUGCACUGCUUUGCCGAGACUUUGUCACUGUCAUUACGGUAA